rnacentral:rRNA from 1 species
AUGCAGGUACCUUACGACUAUCAGUAUCAGCUGGCCGUGGCUGACUACUGGGAGGGGAGGGCGACCAUGGAACCAAAUGUAUGGGUUCCUGCGCUCCCUUUGCAGAUGACAGUUGCUGCUCCUGCUAGCAACACUGAUCUGGUCGUCAGCUCCAGCGAACAGCAGGAGCUGAAGCUGGUCGAGAAGGGUACUGAUUAUCAGUAUGAGUGCAGCAAUCCUAUUGAAGACUUCGAGAAAGCAGCACGAGCAUUUGAGGAUAAUCUUCAGCAGAUGGAAACGAAGAUGCACCUGUUCCCUCCAAGCAUGGAAGAACUCUCCAAGUACUCCAAACCCAAGGUGGUGUCCAUCGGUCCGUACCACCACGGCUCGAACGAAGCCAUCCAGCAGAUGGAGAGCACCAAGUACGCGGCCGCCUGCCACUUCAUCAAGGAAUCGCGGCGCCCCGUUGAGGAGGUGUAUGGGGCGGUCUUCGCGGUGGCCGUUGAAGCCCGCAGCUACUACGACGCGGACAGGCUGCGGGAUCUCAGCGACAACGACUUCAAGCCUAUGAUGUUCUAUGAUGGCUGCUUCCUGCUGCAGUAUAUGCUAUUUUUGUGCAGAGACAACGGCGACGAAGAGAAGCCGACAGCUGAGGUGGAUCAGUGGCUGUACAAUGCUUUCAGCUCCAUCGACCGCCGCAUCUUCAGUGACAUUGUGCUGCUUGAGAACCAGCUCCCCUGGGUGGUGGUUCAAAAGCUCAAGGACUUCAUGCCCCGGCCUGGCCUGGACAUGGAAACGGUCCUUGGACGCGUGAAACAUUCUCUGCAAGCGCGGCGGCAUCUUAAAUUCGAUGCUCCUAAAUUGGACGAUAGCUACGUACCGCCGCAUCUCCUUGGCUACCUACGAUUCUAUAUUGUAGGAAGCACCGACGACACUAGUAGUACUAGUCGUACCCCAGUGCCCGAGAUCACCUUAUCUGAAAAGGUCAAGAAACUAUCAAUGUCUGUCAGCGUCAUCGAGCUUGCAGAGAUGGGCAUCAAGCUCAGAGCCGACGAUGCUACAGCAGAGCUAAAGAAGAUGCGCAUCACCAACGAGUGGUUCACCGGCAAGCUCUUCUUGCCUCCAGUGUCCCUCGACGAUGCCAACGCACGGUUCCUCGUCAACAUGGCAGCUUUGGAACUGUGCAUCACCCCAGAUUUCCGUGUAGCUCAUGAUACACGGUCUACUGUCUGCUCCUACCUCAGCCUUCUGGGGAUGGUCACCGACAAUGAUACUGAUGUGCAGGAGCUGCGAAAUAAGCUUAUACUGCAAGGAGGAGGAGGCCUCACCAACGGGGACGCACUCAAGCUGUUCACCGGGCUUGAGAAGUACCUGCGCCCCGGGAACUGCUAUGACAACAUCAUUAUAGCGAUUGAAAACUACAGGUCCCAUAGGCGGUUGCGGAUCAAGGUGUACAGGUUCUGUUACAGGAACCGCACGGCCAUCAUCGCCACGGUGUCCGCCAUUGCUGGACUUGCAGGUUUCCUCGGGACGCUCAAGUCUUUCCAGUAA